rnacentral:rRNA from 1 species
GGCACAACCAUCUGCCCACAACGCCUAGUCUUACCACACCCCCAAGGGUCUUCAGCAGUGAUAAAUCUUGUGCAUAAGCGACAGCUUGACUCAGUUAAAGAAAAGAGAGCCGGCUAAUCCGGUGCCAGCCGCCGCGGCUACACCGUGAGGCUCAAGUUGAUAAUCUUCGGCGUUAAGCGUGAUUAAAGUUUCUUUAAAUUAGGGUCAAAUUGAUACUUAGUAGUUAUAAGCUUGCUAUCAAGAAGCACAUAAACGAAAGUUACUCUAAUUAUUUUACUUGAAUACACGACAGUUGGGGGACAAACUGGGAUUAGAUACCCCACUAUGCCCAACCGUAAACAAUUAACUUACACCUAUCAGCGCCAGGGAACUACAAGCAACGCUUAAAACCCAAAGGAUUUGACGGUGUCCCACCCACCUAGAGGAGCCUGUUCUAUAAUCGAUAACCCCCGCUAUACCUAACCAUCCCUCGCCCAUCAGUCUGUAUACCUCCGUCGAAAGCUUACCAUGUGAACGUACUUAGUAAGCUUAAUGAUCCACAUCAAUACGUCAGGUCAAGGUGCAGCUUACGGAAUGGAAAGUAAUGGGCUACAAUUUCUAACUUAGAACAAACGAAAGGCUACGUGAAACCCUAGCCCCGAAGGCGGAUUUAGUAGUAAAAAGAAAAUAGAGAGUUCUUUUUAACCCGGCUCUGGGACGCGUACACACCGCCCGUCACCCUCUUCGAUAGUACCAAACCU